rnacentral:ncRNA from 1 species
CAAAGGCCUGGUCCUGACUUUUCUGUCAACUCUAACUCAACUUACACAUGCAAGUAUCUGCACCCCUGUGAAAAUGCCCCACAGCUUCCCACCAAGGAAGCAAGGAGCCGGCAUCAGGCACAACAUUUUAGCCCAAGACGCCUUGCUUAGCCACACCCCCAAGGGACCCAGCAGUGAUAAACAUUAAGCAAUAAGUGAAAACUUGACUUAGCUAGGGUUAAGAGGGCCGGUAAACCUCGUGCCAGCCACCGCGGUUAUACGGGAGGGCCCAAGCUGACAGACACCGGCGUAAAGCGUGGUUAGGAGAGCAACAAUCAUUAAAGUCGAAUGGUUUCAAGGCUGUUAUACGCUUCCGAAUACCAGAAGCACAACAACGAAGGUGACUUUACAAUUUCUGAGCCCACGAAAGCUAAGGCACAAACUGGGAUUAGAUACCCCACUAUGCCUAGCCUUAAACAUGGUAAAAAACUACAUUUUUACCCGCCUGGGAACUACGGGCAUAAGCUUAAAACCCAAAGGACUUGGCGGUGCUUUAGACCCACCUAGAGGAGCCUGUUCUAGAACCGAUGAUCCCCGCUAUACCUCACCUUUCCUUGUUCUCCCCGCUUGUAUACUUCCGUCGUCAGCUUAUCCUGUGAAGGAUUAGUAAUGAGCAAAAUUGGUCUUACCCCAAAACGGCAGGUCGAGGUGCAGCGAAUGGAAAGGGCAGAAAUGGGCUACAUUCUCUACCUUAGAGAAAACGAAUGAUAAACUGAAAACCUAUCUGAAGGAGGAUUUAGAAGUAAGAGGGGAAAAGAGUGCCCCCCUGAAGACGGCCCUGAAGCGCGCACAUACCGCCCGUCACUCUCUCUAGACUAACAAUUUCCCUUUUUCCUAAAAAAUUAAGAAUCCCAUAAGAGAGGCAAGUCGUAACAUGGUAAGUGUACUGGAAAGUGCACUUGGACAAUA